GUGCUCGCUUCAGUAAGACACGUACUAAAAUUGAAAUAAUAGAGAAGAUUAGAAUGGCCCCUGUACAAGGACGACAUGCAAAUUUAUGAAGUGUUCCAUAUUAAA